rnacentral:rRNA from 1 species
AGUGGCGAACGGGUGAGUAACGCGUUGGUGACCUACCCCAAAGAUAGGGAUAACAGUUCGAAAGGACUGCUAAUACCUUAUGUUGUCAUUUUGAUUAGAUGCUAAAUGACUAAAGGAGCUUGCUCCGCUUUGGGAGGGGCCUGCGUCCCAUCAGCUAGCUGGUAGGGUAAUGGCCUACCAAGGCGAUGACGGGUAGGGGACCUGAGAGGGUGGCCCCCCACAAUGGAACUGAAACACGGUCCAUACACCUACGGGUGGCAGCAGUAGGGAAUAUUGGUAAUGUGCGAAAGCGCGAACCAGCAACGCCGCGUGUGCGAAGACGGCCUUCGGGUUGUAAAGCACUUUUCGGGAGGAAGAGGAAGGACUGUACUCCCGGAAUAAGUCUCGGCUAACUACGUGCCAGCAGCCGCGGUAAUACGUAGGAGGCAAACGUUAUCCGGAUUUACUGGGCGUAAAGCGCGUGCAGGCUGUUCAAUAAGUUGGGCGUGAAAGCUCCCGGCUCAACUGGGAGAGGUCGUUCAAUACUGUUGGACUAGAGGAUGGUAGAGGAAGGUGGAAUUCCGGGUGUAGUGGUGAAAUGCGCAGAUAUCCGGAGGAACACCAGUGGCGAAAGCGGCCUUCUGGACCAUUCCUGACGCUCAGACGCGAAAGCUAGGGUAGCGAACGGGAUUAGAGACCCCGGUAGUCCUAGCUGUAAACGAUGUGGACUUGGCGUCGGUGGGAUUAAAUCCAUCGGUGUCGUAGCUAACGCGAUAAGUUCACCGCCUGAGGACUACGGCCGCAAGGUUAAAACUCAAAGGAAUUGACGGGGACCCGCACAAGCAGCGGAGCGUGUGGUUUAAUUCGUUGCUACACGAAGAACCUUACCUGGGUUUGACAUAUAGGUUGUAGGGAACUGAAAAGGGACCGACCCUUCGGGGAGCCUAUACAGGUGUUGCAUGGCUGUCGUCAGCUCGUGUCGUGAGAUGUUCGGUUAAGUCCGCUAACGAGCGCAACCCUCGCCGUAUGUUAUACGUGUCAUACGGGACUGCCGGUAAUAAGCCGGAGGAAGGUGGGGAUGAUGUCAAGUCAGCAUGACCUUUAUAUCCAGGGCUACACACACGCUACAAUGGUCUGUACAAUGGGUAGCCAAGCCGCGAGGCGGAGCCAAUCCUGAAAGCAGGCCUCAGUUCAGAUU